UGAGUAAUGCUUGGGAAUCUAGCUUAUGGAGGGGGGUAACGUACGGGAAACUGUAGCUAAUACCGCGUAGAAUCGAGAGAUGAAAGUGUGGGACCUUCGGGCCACAUGCCAUAGGAUGAGCCCAAGUGGGAUUAGGUAGUUGGUGAGGUAAAGGCUCACCAAGCCGACGAUCUCUAGCUGGUCUGAGAGGAUGACCAGCCACACUGGGACUGAGACACGGCCCAG
rnacentral:rRNA from 1 species